AGUGAACGCUGGCGGUAGGCCUAACACAUGCAAGUCGAACGGCAGCACAGUAAGAGCUUGCUCUUACGGGUGGCGAGUGGCGGACGGGUGAGGAAUACAUCGGAAUCUACUUUUUCGUGGGGGAUAACGUAGGGAAACUUACGCUAAUACCGCAUACGACCUACGGGUGAAAGCAGGGGAUCUUCGCACCUUGCGCGAUUGAAUGAGCCGAUGUCGGAUUAGCUAGUUGGCGGGGUAAAGGCCCACCAAGGCGACGAUCCGUAGCCGGUCUGAGAGGAUGAUCGGCCACACUGGAACUGAGACACGGUCCAGACUCCUACGGGAGGCAGCAGUGGGGAAUAUUGGGCAAUGGGCGCAAGCCUGAUCCAGCCAUACCGCGUGGGUGAAGAAGGCCUUCGGGUUGUAAAGCCCUUUUGUUGGGAAAGAAAAGCAGCAGGUUAAUACCCCGCUGUUCUGACGGUACCCAAAGAAUAAGCACCGGCUAACUUCGUG
rnacentral:rRNA from 1 species